GAUGGACUAUCUAGAUGCUGGUCUUUUCUUAAUCACUGCUAAUUUCUUAAAGCUAACCAGCAUCAAGCAUCCCACUAAUGCAAAUUUUGAUUUAGUAGUUCUGGUUUCUUAUUAAUCAUGGCUGAUUCUUCAGCCCCAGCUAACCAGAACUACAGAAUCUUAAAUCAAAACAGCAAACAGCACUGAUAGUCUUUAAACUUCCCUCUGAAAUGUCACAAGCCAGGCCUUGCACUGUCUGCUUUGCUCUCAACGUUCUUUUUUUAAAAUAUUUUUAUUGGUUCUUUGUGAAUUUCACAUCAUGCACCUUGACCCCACUUAUCUCUCCCUACCACAUACUAAUCUUCCACCCUUGCAACCUGCCCCCCAAAAGUAGAAAGGAAGUUGGAAAAAAGUGGAAGCUCUAGUGUGUCACAGUGUGUCCCACGGUAUACUCUUUAGUCUACACUUCUUUGUUUGCAAAUGUUCAUUGCAAUGACUCGUUCCAGUUUGAGGCCUCUGGCUUCUGCUACACUAUCAAUACUAGAACCUCACCGGGACUCUUCUCUGAUAUCCUGUUGUUGCCCUGUGUCAUGGACAUUCUGUAGUUUUGGAUCUGUGGGACGGGUCCCUUCAUGUACUUUAGCAGUUCAUCAAUGGGGUAGAUGUUGGGGUGGGCCAAUUCAAAGCCUUGGAUCUGGGCCUGAGAGGUACUGGAGCUGGUCAGUACUGCCAACAUUCUUGCACUCACACCUCAGGGUUGAGCUUUCCUGCCCUGCCCUGGCUGGCCAAUCUAGUUCUGUGACCAGCAAGAGGUGGAGCCAGUUCUCCUUCAUCAGAGACAGCUCUAAUGUGCUGCCUAGGUGAGGUGCAAGGCUGGCUUUCCCAUGCUCAUGCUCACAGGCAACCCUCCCCUCUGCCUUUCAUCAACCAACACUAGCUCUACCUUAUUGCCCAGGUGAAGUACAGGGCCCAAGUGUUGCAUCAAGUGAGGAACAGGGCCAGUUCUUCCAGUCUUAUGACUUAGGGGCCAGCUCUCCCAGUUGCCAUAGGUGGCAAGGGAUGAGAGAGGAGAAGAAGGCAUUUAUUCUUCAUUCCUGGUACCACGUGGUAGACAAGUGGUACGGCUGCUGGGGACAGCAUACCAUGACAGGGACUGCCCAUCACAGGCCAGGAUGGAGACAUCUCAGAAGCCUGUGGUGGCUUCUCUUUGUAAAAAAAGAAGAAGAAGAAGAAGAAGAAGAAGAAGAAGAAGAAGAAGAAGAAGAAGAGGAAGAAGAAGAGGAAGAAGAAGAAGAAGAAGUUGUUCCCAUUUCCCCAUUUCUCCUAACCUUAUCGAUGGACAACAGGAUCAAUAAAAGACUGGAGCAAAAAGGGGUCUGCAACCCUAUAGGUGGAACAACAAUAUGAACUAACGAGUACCCCUGGAGCUCGUGUCUCUAGCUGCAUGUGUAGCAGAAGAGGGCCUAGUCGGCCAUCAGUGGACAGAGAGGCCCAUUGGACUUGCAAACUUUAUAUGCCUCAGUACAGGGGAAUGCCAGGGCCAAGAAGUGGGAGUGGGUGGGUAGGGGAGUUGGGAGGGGGUAUGGGGGACUUUUGUGUAGCAUUGGGAAUGUAAAUGAAGAAAAUAUCUAAUAAAAAAUUAAAAAAAAAGACUGGAGCAAAAGGUGAGGAGUGAGAGGAGUGUGGAGUGAGUGAGUGAGGUGUGUGUGUCUGAGAGAGUGUGUGAUGGUUUGUAUAUCCUUGGACCAGGGAGUGGCACCAUCUGGAGGUGUGGCCUUGUUGGAAUAGGUGUGACCUGGUUGGAAUGGGUGUGUCACUGUGGGUGUGGGUAUAA
rnacentral:lncRNA from 1 species